ensembl:lncRNA novel transcript
AUUUCAGCGUCCUGGGGCUGCUGUAGUGCAGGCUUACAACAUCAGAAAUUUAUUCUCUCCCAGUUCUGGAUGCCACGAGUCCAAAAUCACGGUGUGGGCAGCACGCAGCACACUCCUUCCGGAGGCCCUGGGGAGGAUCCCUCCCUCUUCCAGCUCUGGGGGCUCCACGCCCCUGCUGCGGCCGACGCUCCAGUCCCUGCCUCUGUCCUCACAGGGCCUGCUCUGUGCAUCUGUCUCUAUUCUGCUCUGCUCUUCAUGGAGGAACACCAGUGACUGACUUGGGACUCAGCCUCAAUCCAGGGUGACCUCGUCCCCAGAUCCUUAAUUACAUCUGCAAAGCCCUACUACCAGGGAAGGUUGCAUUCUGAGGUUCUGGGCGGACAUGAAUUUUGGGGGCAGGACACUGUCCAGCUCAGUGCCGGGCGCCGCUGUGGGCCAGGCCCUUUGACUCUUGCAAGCCCACGAUGGCUACAGAGCUCCAAGGAGGAGGCUUCCUGGAGGAGGCGGCCCAGCUCAUCAGAGAACCAGCAUGUCUUCCCCUUGGGUUCUGGGACCAGCACUUUUAACGAUAAGUCCUUUUGGACCACGCUGAUCCGGGCUGAGACCUGUCGCCUGCCGCGCGCCUUGGGCGGAGGUUAGACAGGCCGCGCACCUCCAAGCUUUGACACGUCCUUCCUCCAAAGGGUGGAGGCCCCACAGGGACCUCUGCCAUCGGAACCGCGGGUUUCUGCCGGGCCGGAGGCGCCUGAGAGAUCUCCGCGGAACGGCGCGUGAACCUGCGGCCGCGGCGGCGGGUCCGGAUGGAGAUGGACGCUGGAUGGGCUGUUUCCUGAGUUUGGUUCCCGUGGCGGGGUCGGCCCCUCGCCCCUGCAUUUGGCAGACCUGAUGCGGAGCCCGAGGGUGGCUGUUGGCCUGGGGCGGGGAAGGGGCUCUCUAGAUCGGGGGUCCCACCUGCUGGGCUUGGGGAGCCCAUUUGGCCUUCUCUGAUUGGUCUGGAGUUGCAGGUGAGGCCACCUCAGGAAGCUGCUGUAUCUGAGGGAGCCCGGGCCGCCCUGGGGGACGCUGGGGUUUGACUUCUGGGGCUGGGGGCUGCACGGGUGGGUCGGGGUCUGUCUGGGUUGGGGUCCGCGGCCGCGUGGGGUCUGGAUUGGCGUCUGCCUGGCUUGGGGGUCCUCAGCCGCAUGCAGUUUGGGUCGAGGUCGGGGGUCCGCGGCCGCGUGGGGUCUGGGUCGGGGUCUGCCUGGCUUGGGGGUCCUCAGCCGCAUGCAGUUCGGGUCGAGGUCUGCAGCUGCGUGGGGUCCGGCUCUCAUGGCCCCUGUGCCUGGACUUCGCUCUCCAACCAUUUCCUCUGCACGUUUCCCUGGAAAAGGACAUGGGGUUCAGGGUGGUGGAUGUGGACACCCCCUGAAACCCACCAGCCCUGGUCUGUGAUGCCUGGAUGGAGGGGCCACAGCCACGCCGGCUCCCAGCCUCUUCCCAGACACCCUAGCCCCUGGAGGCAGGGUCCCCCCGUGAGGCGUAUCAUCCCUGAGCGCCCCACACGCCUGCUCCUGGGCAUCCUCCUGGGUGGUGGUGUGGUGCGGCUCUGCGUCCCCACCCAAACCUCACAUGGAAAUGGAGUCUGCAGUGUGACGGUGGGGCCUGGUGGGGAGUGACUGGGUAGCAGGGGCGGAUUUCUCGUGAAUGGCUUGGCCCCGUCCCUCCUGGUGCUGUCCUCGAGAUUGUGAGUGGCCAUUUAACUGUGUCCCGCACCUGCUCUGUCUUUCUCGUUCCCGCUCACGCCAUGUGAGACACCUGCUCCCGCUUCGCCUUCCACCACGGUUGGAAGCUUCCUGGGGCCUCUCCAGAAGCAGAAACACCUGUGCUUUCCAUAUAGCCUACAAAGCGUGAGCCAAUCAAACUCUUUUCUCUAUAAAUUACCCAGUCUCAGGGUU